rnacentral:lncRNA from 1 species
AGGAAGCGCAGCCAUGAAGCUACAUGUGCCUAUGUGGAGACAUAUCAUGGAUUUUCCUAUGAGUUUACUGGCCUGAUUUUCUUAACUCCACCCUGCUGAGAAGAUGCCCUCCAGGAGGCUGUGCUUGCAGACUCCACGGAGCCUCUCUCAAGAUUUCCUGAACCUUGUGGAUUUACAGUAAGACGAAGUUCCCUGGGGAGUAAUUCUGGUGGAUGCAAAUUCUGGAGUAAUACACCUGGCCUGCCUAGAGAUGUUACAAGUGGCCUAAUGGAUUUUUCUAGCCUGGACGCCCACUGGGGACAAGGAUCAUUACUGACAGGAUUGUAUCUCUACCCUUGACUCCAUGGGAAUAUUUGGUCUGCUCUCUCGGGCUCCCUCUAAAAU